rnacentral:sRNA from 1 species
GGGGUCGUAGACCCCCGGUCAAAAGAAAUUGACCAAACAUAACCGCCAGAGGCGGGUUGGAAGCUUCGCGUACCAAUCAUAGUACAGAACUGUAUCAAUAAU